CGUUGCCAAAUGUCUCCUGGGUGGCAAAAUUGGUCCUGAUUGGAGAACUGCUGCUCCAGACCCUCAUCAUUCAGGAAAAAAGGAGGAAUGUCCAAGAAACAAAACAAGCAGACAGUGGUUGAAGGCUGUGGAGAGUUUUGUUUGGGCAAUAUCCCAGAUGACAGAUCCCUGGUUCCAGGGAACUUUGGGGGAGAGAAGACUUAGGGGGGACAGGGAGAAGAGAAUAGUUUUGGGGCCUCAUGAGCAGAUGUUUAGAUCCAGAAUGGCACAUACAUACUGUGUGUGUGCUUAGCCCACGCCCAAGGCAGACAUUACUAAUCAAUCACAGUGUUCUCUCCCAUUAGGUCAGGACACUCUUCCAGAAUCUUGACACAGGUUCCAGGCAGCCACCACAGCUCAGUAAGGUAACCCAAGACAAAAUGUGUUGCCCUCCCAGAGUGAGAUUCUUCUCAGAGAAGAAUUCUUUUCUCUGACCUGAGGGGACUUCCUUCCCCCCUUUAAACACUCUUGAUUCCAACAGGAGAGAAGCAUUCCUGGUGAGGCUAAGCAUGCCUUCUUCCAUCUUCCUUUCUUCAAAGGAAGCGCUGGUCCCGGGGACCUCAGGGCUCAGAGUGGGAAGGGGCAUGGCUGCUUCCUGAGGACAGGAGGGAUCUGGGAGAUGAGGGGGCACAGAGAGGUGGUUUCAGUGGGCCCAGAGAGGGGUGAUGGGCAUGAUACCUGGAAAGGACACCUCCCUGGAAGUGGAGGUGGGACUCCAUGCCUCCCAUCCCACUCUGGGCAUCUAAGAUUCUCUGUGAUUGGUGGCGUGGGGAACUGCAGAGCUUGCUUAUCUGCGGGGCCAUCUGAGGGACUCAGGCUUGAAUGUCCUGGGUCCUCCAUUUCCUGAGCCCCCAUCCUGCACUAGGCACUAAGCAUCCAGCACUGCACUGCUCCCACAAACUCCCUGCAGAGACCUCACUGCCCCAUAUUGCAGGGGAGGAAACUAAGGCUCAGAGAAGUUAAGUAACUGCUCAAGGUCACACAGCCAACAGAAGGCAGAGCCCAGAUCAAGACCUAACGUCACCAACUAUGAGCUGGUUCCUCCUUCACCACACCACAUCCUUUGACCCCCUGGGGCCCAUCUUUCAGAGAGAGAAGUAGAGGUGCAGAGGAUAAACAGUCAGAGAGACCACAUAACAAAGUGGUUAAGGACUCUGGGGCCAGACUGGGUUCACACCCUGAGUAUGUUGCUCAGUAGCUCGGUGGCCACAGGAGUCGACGUUGCUGGGGAAGAAAGAAGCAAGACAUCCACCUCCCAUGAAAGACGUGUGUCCCAAAAGCAGCCCCUCCAGUGUGACCAGUGCCCAGCCCCCUCUCCCCAGCACAUGUUGUGAAAGGAAAAAGACCGAAAUAAACUGGGGCACCUUGUGUGGAUCACAGCAACUCUUUCCUGGAGUGAGCAGUGGGCCUUAAGGCCUAGCACCUGAGUGGCUGAGAAAUACGCCUUGGGAGGUGAACACAGAAACAGCCACAGCCAGACGGACAGCACCAUGCCAGACUCUAGCCAGCUGACCCAGGUUGGGUCCUGCCCCCAGCAUUCAGGUAUUUGUUUCGUCCCACUGGGCCCCAUGUCUUGGUGGUGUCUGUGAGAGGAGAGGCCUCGCUCUGGACAACGGGAAAGGGAGCUGGGCAGGAGGAGGGGUGGUCCCCCUGCACGCUGGGGUGAUGGGGCGACACCCAUAGGCGACUCCCUGAGAGCCCUAUGACAGGCCAUCCCAGGACGACACCCAUCUGGGUGCCUGUUCUGCCACACCAUCACUCUGUGACAUUUUGCAUGGCAGAUGUCAAGCACAGAUUAAAAACCAGUCCAUCUUGCUAUUAUUAUCCCUAAUUACUCACUCACUAGCUGAAGGCUCCCUAUAGAGGAAACGAGCACCAUCUCAGACUCUGGGACUCAUGGACCUGUGGAGAAAUUCCUCUUUCUAGCUUUUGUGCUUUUUUUCAAACCUCAGCUGCAAAACAGCUUCCCCUGCCCACCCAAGCUCACGCGUAUGCAUGCACAGCCCGAGACAUUCUUGCUGCUCCUUUCACCCUCUGCCCCACCCGGCUGCCCCCAGGGCCCUCGGAGGGGGCUGAUAAUGGGCCCUGCUCCACCUGCAGGGCCUCCGCCUCAGUUCCGACCACUUUGUCUGGGGCCGUGGCCCUCGCAGGGACUUCCUUGGUGCCUCUCCCAUGUCGGCUGGUCUCACCAGAGUAGCAGGGGCCAAGGGCCACGAGGUGACCGCCCUUUUCGCAUUUCCUUUCUUUUCCGGGCUGCGGGGUAGGGGCGGGUUGUGGGGACAGUGGAGAGGUGGAGAAGGACAGGGAACAGAGGAACAGGGCAGCACCAGUGGUGGCCCACCUGGCGCUCCCACACAGGCCCAGGUGCUCCCAGACUCAGCAUCCCUGCAUGGUAGGAUCCACCCCCAAGUCCUACCCACCAAACCCGCAGAUGGAUGGGCACCCAUGCCCAUCCCUCCUUCUUUCCUCCACGUCUCUACCACAGGUCCCCUGUCCCAUCUGGACCUGCACCUCCUCAGACACUGCUCAGCCCACUCACCCUUAUCUGCUGCGUCCCCACUCUCUCUCCCUCUCUCCUGGCUCCUAGCCAUCAACAUUUCAACGAGCUAGCCUCUUCUGUCCUGAAAACAUCCCUUUCUUGACCUGCCGGCCCCUUCCAGCUAUUGCCCCAUCCUGGCCUUUCUUUUGCAGCCAAACCUCUUAACCAGGGGUGUCUGCACAAGUGUCUCCCACUUCCUCACCACCCACUUCUCUCAGUCUGGCUUUGGCCCCUCCGGGCCCCCGAGGCUGGCCUCUCACGGCCACCUCUGACCUCCUUGUUGCUAAAUCUAGUGGACACUUUUAACUCCACAUCCCACGUGGUCUAUGGACAGGGCCUGACACUGCCGACCACUUCCUCUUCCUGACACACUUUCUCGCCUGGGCUGCUGGUCACAGCAGUGUCCCAGCUUUCUCCCCGGCGGCUGACAGCGCCGUCUUGAUUACACCCACAGUGUACUCUUCCUCCUACACGUAGUGCUGCUUAGAGGUCUGUUCUCGUCUUUCUUCUCUCACUGCCCGCCCACAUCUCCACAUGCCACCUCUGAGCUGAUGGCUCCCACAUCUUUACUGACCUGUCUCCUGCCCCUCAGGUCAGCAUUCGGCUGCCUCCCAGACAUCUCACCAGGAGCCUCAAACUCAGCAGGUCCAAAAUGGAGCACAUGAUCCUUCCUUCCAAAUCAGCUCCUCUUCCUCUCUAGUCUGGGCCAAGAAUCACCGAUGCCAGAAGCCAGAGCAUCGUCCUGGAUGCUGUCCCCCAUUUUACACCCUGACCAGCAGUCACCUCUGACCCUUCCCUGCCUGAUCCGCUUCCCUCACCCCAGGUCGGGCGCCCUGUCCUCUCCUUGGGGGAUGGCUCCAGCCGCCCUCGGGUCUCUCUCCUCCGUGUUCUGCUCCCCACAGCACAGCUGGAAUGAGCUUUGUAAACCCUGCUUGACUCUAGCGCUCUUCUGCCUGAAGGUUUUCAAAAGCUCCCCAUCACCCUCGGGAAUAAGCUCAAAGUUCUUAACACGCCGUGCCAGGGCCUGGGACAGGCGUGUCUCUCCUCUGUCCCCACACACAAACACUGCCUGCCGUUGAGGGUUCCUUGGUCUCUCAUGACCCCGCCCACCCAUCCUUUCCCAGGACACCUGGCACACUCUUCCCCACCUCUUUGCCUGGCCGGUGGGGACUCUGGCCUCCUUCAGCUCCCAGCUCAGCUGUCACUCCCCCUAGGGAACCUCCUGGAGCACCUGGCCUCCCCCGCUCUGGCCUGGGCCAGGCACCUCUCACAGCCGCCUGCUGACUCCCUCCUGGCCCUUUUCAGCCUGGAUGGUUAAAUGCCCUCUGCCCUUGGCGGUCUGGCCCAGUGACUGGCCCAGAGCCCGGAGCCCAGGCAUUGCAUAAUGUACUGAAAGAACACAGCGCCCGGCCCCGGGGCCCCUCAAACACCCCUGUGCUGGAUGCCCCAUCGCCAGCACACGGCCGCAGUCUGAGACCUAAGACUGAUCCCCCCACCCCCAUUUUACUCUCCCCACUUACUUCAGUGGGACAACUGAGGGACGUUUAUUCUGAAACACCUUCCUCAGCACUUGUAGGGUCCUGGUGACAGUGUGAUUCUGAGGGUGACAGCCCUGCCUUGGGUGAGCUGGCCUGAGAGCCCAGCCCCAGGUCACAGCCAGCUAGGGGCCAAGCUGUCCUUGCCUAGAAUUCCACCUGUCCCCGCCGGGGUCUCACCCUCUGCUUGAAUCUGCACCUGCAGGUCGAGUGUCCAGACCUUCUCUUCUCUAAUGGCUUCUGGGUCAGCUGUGUCCCCAGCUGGGGAGAAAGGUCCCUGAGGGCUGAGGCCAUAUUCUCUUUGCUUCUAGUCCCUCAAAGGGCCCAGAAUGGGACCAGGCAAAGCAUCAGCCCUGCCCUAUGGGAAAAACAGGUCUCGGGCAAACAAAAUACACCUCCAACGUCAGGGGCUGGCCAGAGGCACAUUUUCAAGCAGGGUAAGGGCCCCCUUGAAGAGGCCUUGACCCCUGGUCACCUCCCUCCGGUCUACUCGUGAUCUGGGGGGCCGCAUCUUGAAUCGUACUCCUGAUUGCGAGCAUCCUCACCGAGAACCAAGGAAAGUGCUGUGGCUCCCGCAGAGCCACGUGGGGCUCUGGGAGGGGCCGGCCCAGCAAGCGGGCAGCAGACGCCAGCUCUCGGACUGUUAGCAAUCCCUGCAGCUAUGCCCAGCAAGAGGACGGACAAGCCAGUGGUCUGAGAGCAACCCGACGGCCCUUCUGCAGGAGAAGCACCUUUUUUUCUCAGGGCACUUCUUUUGCUUCCCAAGCUCAGCAGGCCCCAUGCACCUGCAGUGAUCCCAGCUCAGGGCAUCAAACCCAAACUAACGCCCUGAGGAGCCAGGAGUGCACCCCUGCUCUCAGCACCUUGGGGAUGAGGCCCUGAGACCCCGACCUGCCUUUGCUGGCGUUUCUCUCUCGGCCCCAGGCCUGUAUGAACCAGAGGUGGCUGAACAGUGCCUUGUGGAUCUGUACAAAGGAGAUCGGCUGGGGCCUCUGAGACUGGCCACCCCCUCGAUGGAUACCCACCGCGUCCGGGAGAUCAAUACAGCUAAUGCAGCAAUCUGAAGCUCCGUAAGCCUGGGCAGGGUCUCCUGGGGGCCUGCUGUUUAUUUUCCUCCCAGUUUCCCCCAGCAUCUCCAGCCCUCUCCGCUAACCUACAACCCCUGCCCUGAAUAGCAGCUAGCGUGACUGUGGGCCUCCCUGAAGCUGUGACCCUGGAGGGCGAGAGGGAGGAGGGCAGGCUGGGAUGCUGUCACCCUUCAGCUAGCUGAUGUGGAGAUCUUAAUGAAUAUGAAUCGCCUCCCCCUCCACGGAGUCGGCCCCAUCAGAUUCCUUCACACCUCGCCGAGCCCAGAAAGGUUACUCAGAAUUAAAUGUAAAUCACAUAUUUACUGAUAUGAAUCAGAUCACAGUGUCACUUUCUCACAACAGAGAGUUUAAUCAUGCUGCAGCCCCGGGGGUCUCUGCUCUCCUGUGGCCACACCUCGGCUCACAGGAGAUCAGCUCCACGACCUCCCAUGAGGGGGUGUGGGGGUGGGUGCUCCCAGAGCCUGGGAAAGGGCAGCGGGCCCAGCAGGAGACCUGACGCUGGUGCAGCCGGCCCUUUGGUGCCCAAGUCACGGCUGCCUUUUAAUAUCACAUCAGUCGUGGUCAUGAUGAGCUAGGCAGCGCCUUACAUGCUGUGGCUAUUUAAUAAGUGUUGAAUAAUCACAGAAACAUCACUGCUAAAAGGCUGCUGGCAGCGAGCCCCCUUCCCAGGCUCACGUGUAUUCCUGCAGCCGGGGGAGAAAGGCGAGAGACACAUGAAAGGGUUUCACCGCAGCUGAUCAGUGUUGAGCAGCCGCGGGGUGGGAGGACCACUGGCUUGGGAGCCAUGAGACCCUCUCAGAGCCGGGCUUUGCCACUUGCUCCGCAGCAGGACUGUAGGCAAAUUCACUUGAACUGCCGGUUCUGUGGAGAUACGACGCAGGACGUGUUGAACGUGAAAGUGUCUGCCAACAGUAAAGUUUUCUGCAAAUGCAAGGAGCAAUGACAGUGAGCUCCAUGCAAAGGCCACCAGACGAGGAAGAAAGAGACCCAGGCCUCAGCCCUGGUUCUCCCACCUAAUAGCUUUGUAGCCUUUAAAAUAGCCUUCAGCUUCUCUGAGCUUCAGGUUCACAUUAGCAAAACGGAAAUAACGAGGCCUUGCCUAACGGGGAGAGGCUCCGAAGAAUGCAGCGAAAGAGCUCUGUGCAAACCAUGAGCCUGCACACAGCUCUGGAGCUCUGUGUGGGUGCUCCCGUCAGCCACAGCAGGAUGCCGGGGAAUCUGUUUUCCCCGCAUGUCAUGGUCCCUUCCCUUCCCAAGCCUGCUCACUUAGAGGCGGUGUCCAGGCUAACAGCUGUGCCUUUGGAGAGCUCUUUACAGCUGACAACGCAGUGUGCAGGCAGGAGCUUGCAGUCUGCUUGGGAGGUCAUGUCGGCACUGGGGGCUCCUUGGUGGCUCCAUCUCUUUAGGAGGAGGUGUGCUGGAGGGGCCGGCUCCUCCGCCACACUUUGUGCCUAUGUGCCCUCACCAGAGCCAGAUGGCCGGGGUGGGUUUUCUUGACUGGAGAAUUUCCUAACUGGAUAACUACUUCCCAGAGAACUGAGCCCAUAUUGUCCACACAAGAAGUCAAUCUACAUCCUGAGUGUGUGUGUGUAGGGUGGGGGUUUAACCCAAGAAACAGACGUCAUUUCUUCAUGCAUCAGGAAGCCUCUUUUCACCAGUUUUAACGAACAAAGCUCUCUUGGGCUUAAAGUCAAGGAACCUUCUUUUUAUAGCCAGUCUCACUCCUGGAAAAGUUCUGCCUUUGUGUAUGGACUCGAAUUAGGGAAAUAUGCACUGAAUUUAGAAGGUGUCUAUUAACCCUUAGCUGGACAUGGAUAGGAAGUGAAGUCAUGAUUUUAGGGCAAAGAAAGUCUGUUCCAGGUCAGUUACGUACUGUGUAACAAAUCACCCCCAAACUUGGUGGGGUGAAAUAAAGCCUGAUUUAUUAAGCUCACAGCUUCUGGAGUGGGGAAUUUGGACAGGGCACAGUGGAGAGGGCGUGUCUCUGCUCCACCGUGUCUAGGGCCUCGGCUGGGAAGAAGGCUUGGGGGUGACUUGAACUGCUGGGGUAACUGGAGGCUUCUUCACUCGCCUGUCAGCACCAGGGCGGGGAUAUCAGCUGAGCUGAUCAACAGAGCACUCCCAUUGGGCUUUUCCGUGUGGGUGGGGCUUCUCACAGCAUCGGGGCUGGGUUCUUUGGGGUGGUGAGUGCAUCUGGAGAGCCAGUAUUACAAGAGAUCAAGCAAAAGAUUAUGACUUCUUACACUGCUGGUGGGAAUGCAAACUGGUGCAGCCACUAUGGAAAACAGUAUGGA